rnacentral:rRNA from 1 species
GGGAACUACGAGCUAAGCUUAAAACCCAAAGGACUUGACGGUACCCCAUAUCCCCCUAGAGGAGCCUGUCCUAUAAUCGAUAAUCCACGUUUAACCUCACCAUUUUUAGUUAAUCAGCCUGUAUACCUCCGUCGUCAGCUUACCACGUGAGCGCCAAUUAGUGAGCUUAAUGUCUUUCACCAACACGUCAGGUCAAGGUGCAGCAAAUGAAAUGGGAAGAGAUGGGCUACACUUUCUAUAUUAGAAAAAACGAAAAACUACUUAUGAAAACUAGUUGGAAGGCGGAUUUAGCAGUAAAAAGGAAUCAGAAUGUCCAUUUUAACCCGGCACUGGGGUGUGUACACACCGCCCGUCACCCUCUUCAAAGCUUCUAACCUAGUUCCUAACAAACUAAGGCAUAACAGAAGAGGCAAGUCGUAACAUGGUAAGUAUACCGGAAGGUGUGCUUGGAAA